ACAAUUCUGCGGUGGAUCACUUGGCUUCUGCAUCCACAAAACAUGCAGCUAGCUGCAAGAAUUGAUGUGACUUGCAGAACACAAUCGCCUGGGAGUUGCACUUACCCUCCCAGAAGGUCAUUCCUCUGAGGCUUUUCUCCAGGGCCG
rnacentral:rRNA from 1 species